UUNAUCCUGGCUCAGGACGAACGCUGGCGGCGUGCCUAAUACAUGCAAGUCGAGCGAAUCGAUGGGAGCUUGCUCCCUGAGAUNAGCGGCGGACGGGUGAGUAACACGUGGGCAACCUGCCUAUAAGACUGGGAUAACUUCGGGAAACCGGAGCUAAUACCGGAUACGUUCUNUUCUCGCAUGAGAGAAGAUGGAAAGACGGUUUACGCUGUCACUAAUAGAUNGGCCNNNGGCGCAUUAGCUAGUUNGUGAGGUAAUGGCUCACCAAGGCGACGAUGCGUAGCCGACCUGAGAGGGUNAUCGGCCACACUGGGACUNAGACACGGCCCAGACUCCUACGGGAGGCAGCAGUAGGGAAUCUUCCGCAAUGGACGNAAGUCUGACGGAGCAACGCCGCGUGAACGAAGAAGGCCUUCGGGUCGUAAAGUUCUGUNGNNAGGGAAGAACAAGUACCAGAGUAACUGCNNNGUNCCUNGACGGUACCUAACCAGAAAGCCACGGCUAACUACGUGCCAGCAGCCGCGGUNAUACGUAGGUGGCNAGCGUUGUCCGGAAUUAUUGGGCGUNAAGCGCGCGCAGGUGGUUCCUNNAGUCUNAUGUGAAAGCCCACGGCUNAACCGUNGAGGGUCAUUGGAAACUGGGGNACUUGAGUGCAGAAGAGGAAAGUGGAAUUCCAAGUGUAGCGGUNAAAUGCGUAGAGAUUUGGAGGAACACCAGUGGCGAAGGCGACUNUCUNGUCUGUAACUGACACUGAGGCGCGAAAGCGUGGGGAGCAAACAGGAUUAGAUACCCUNGUNGUCCACGCCGUAAACGAUGAGUGCUAAGUGUUAGAGGGUNUCNGCCCUNUAGUGCUNCACUAACGCAUUAAGCACUCCGCCUNGGGAGUACGGCCGCAAGGCUNAAACUCAAAGGAAUUGACGGGGGCCGCACAAGCGGUGGAGCAUGUNGUUUAAUUCGAAGNAACGCGAAGAACCUUACCAGGUCUUGACAUCCUCUGACAACCCUAGAGAUAGGNNUNUCUUCGGGGNACAGAGUGACAGGUGGNGCAUNGUNGUCGUCAGCUCGUGUCGUGAGAUGUUGGGUUAAGUCCCGCAACGAGCGCAACCCUNGAUCUUAGUUGCCAGCAUUCAGUUGGGCACUCUAAGGUNACUGCCGGUGACAAACCGGAGGAAGGUGGGGAUGACGUCAAAUCAUCAUGCCCCUUAUGACCUNGGCUACACACGUGCUACAAUGGAUGGUACAAAGGGCUGCAAACCUGCGAAGGUNAGCGAAUCCCAUAAAGCCAUNCUCAGUUCGGAUUGUAGGCUGCAACUCGCCUNCAUGAAGCCGGAAUCGCUNGUAAUCGCGGAUCAGCAUGCCGCGGUNAAUACGUUCCCGGGCNUNGUACACACCGCNCGUNACACCACGAGAGUUNGUAACACCC
rnacentral:rRNA from 1 species